AAACGUUAAAUGGGUGACUUAAGUUGGCGCCCAAACGAACGCAGCGUCUGCGGGCUGCUAGAUAAACAGACACGCAGAGAAAGUGCAGCUAGUGAUGCAGAUAUGCUUGAAAGAACAUAAACUCCAAAACAUUUCCACCGGCCUGUUUCUAUCUCCUCUCCAUCAGGGCUUAAGCCCCAGCGAAACACACACUCAAAAGAGGGUGAAAGUCUGGCUUGCUUUAUUAAUGAGGACCAUCUGUGCAGAGGCACAGUGAAUGAGAGAAAGAGAGAGGGAAAAGCCGAAAAGAAAGCGGAGA